UGUAGCAUUAAUGUUCAGUUGACAGAAGGGCUCCACGGAGGAUGUGUCCUUUAGAUCACAGAGAUUGGAGAGUGCAAGAGAGGAGGCAAGAUGCCUCCCCCAACAAGAAGACACCCAUGGCAGAUCCUUAAGGUUGGAUAAAGACAAUUAGAACACCUCCCAGGAGGAGCCAAAGGAUGUUGUUCAUGAAAUCGUUCUCAA
rnacentral:lncRNA from 1 species